rnacentral:lncRNA from 1 species
CAAGACUUUGCCUGCUGUGAUAAGGAAUUUCCAGUACAUGAGAGUGCACUCACUUCCUUGUCCUCUAGGACAAUACUAAGAUUUAGACACAUUCUUAGCAUCUGUGGUGAAAUAUGAAUGAACAAUAACAACAAGUCCCUAAGGAUCGAAAACAAAUCGUAUAUCCUAUGACAGGUUUCCCAACAAAAUAUGCCACUUACAUUCAGAAUAUUGCAGAAGAAGUCAUGCAGAGAAUGAGUUUUGGAGAUAUUCAAUCCUAGAAUCCAGCAUGGUCUCAUUCUUUCACCAGGCUUCGAGGGGAGAGGGACCAACAAGAAUGUAGUUCUGGAGUGAUGGCCAGAUUUGGGCAUGGAGAUACAAGAAGUCUGGAAUGGGGUGCUGAGACACACUGGUAACCGGUUCUGAUAAUGUUUUCAAUCCUAAAUAUGCAAUCAUAUAAAAACAAAGCAAUCCAAUAAAAGUGUUUGGGUAGCAGUAGCUGAGCCUUG